rnacentral:rRNA from 1 species
GACGAACGCUGGCGGCGUGCUUAACACAUGCAAGUCGAACGGAAAGGCCCUGCUUGCAGGGUACUCGAGUGGCGAACGGGUGAGUAACACGUGGGUGAUCUGCCCUGCACUUCGGGAUAAGCCUGGGAAACUGGGUCUAAUACCGGCUAGGAGCCAUUUUUAGUGUGAUGGUUGGAAAGUUUUUUCGGUGUAGGAUGAGCUCGCGGCCUAUCAGCUUGUUGGUGGGGUAAUGGCCUACCAAGGCGGCGACGGGUAGCCGGCCUGAGAGGGUGGACGGCCACAUUGGGACUGAGAUACGGCCCAGACUCCUACGGGAGGCAGCAGUGGGGAAUAUUGCACAAUGGGCGCAAGCCUGAUGCAGCGACGCCGCAUGGGGGAUGACGGCCUUCGGGUUGUAAACUCCUUUCGCUAGGGACGAAGCUUUUUGUGACGGUACCUAGAUAAGAAGCACCGGCUAACUACGUG